rnacentral:rRNA from 1 species
AUUGAACGCUGGCGGCAUGCCUUACACAUGCAAGUCGAACGGCAGCACGGGGCAACCUGGUGGCGAGUGGCGAACGGGUGAGUAAUGCAUCGGAACGUACCUUUCAGUGGGGGAUAACGUAGCGAAAGUUACGCUAAUACCGCAUAUCCUGUGAGCAGGAAAGCAGGGGAGCGCACGACCUUGUGUUGAUGGCGCGGACGAUGUCAGAUUAGCUAGUGGGGGAGGAAAAGGCUCACCAAGGCGACGAUCUGUAGCGGGUCUGAGAGGAUGAUCCGCCACACUGGAACUGAGACACGGUCCAGACUCCUACGGGAGGCAGCAGUGGGGAAUUUUGGACAAUGGGGGCAACCCUUAUCCAGCCAUGCCGCGUGAUUGAAGAAGGCCUUCGGUUUGUAAAGCUCUUUCGGCCGGGAAGAAAUCGCACGGGCUAAUACCCUGUGUGGAUGACGGUACCGGAAUAAGAAGCACCGGCUAACUACGUGCCAUCAGCCGCGGUAAUAC